UGCUCCAUCCCCCUUCAUCAGAGAACAACGGCGCUCUCCAUCUUCAAAGAAAACCAGAGAACGCACCCUAUUCCUUCAUAGAAGAACGAACACCAUCCCCCUUUUCUUCUCGAUUUCCUCCUCUUCUCAUCUCACUCAUACGCCAAAAGACCUUAGUAGUAACUAAAAAUGCAGAAGUUAGAUCUGAAAGGGCUAAAAACAUGAAGAAAACCUGGGAUUGUUUGCUCCUCACUCGCUGGGUUCUAAGAGAGGGAUUUAAUUCCAAUAUCACUAUUGUUUUUGCUGAAAAUCUGUUGUUUCUAUUUUAGUGAACUCCGAUUAUUUCUUAUCUAGCCUCUAUUUGUAAUCUCCAAGUUGAUUCCAGCAUAAUCAGUUGCUUGGAUUUCGAAAGUGUUAUUGAAUGCUGAAACUUUUGCUGGGUUCCGAUUUGAAGAAUUUCGCUCUUAUUUGGCUUUCGGCAUAUUAUAGCACAUUUCAUGAGUCAAUUUCAGAAACCCUGUCCUAAUUCCUUGUUGGGUGUUGGUGUAUGGGAGUAGAUCUGUCUUCCUGCAUAUUACAGGCACUACGCUUUUAGAUUCCAUCUUCUGCAAUUUUAAGGUGCUAUUUCUUCUUUUAUGAUUCAAUUGAUUGUUCCUUUGUAUUUUUUUUUAAAACGUGUUCUUACUUGCUUCACGCUUAUAUUAGGAAGAAAAGUGGAUAUGCUAGGGAUGGAUCAAGAUGAUUUCAUGUCUUGAUUCUGUUUAUGCAUAUUCAGGAAAAAGACAAAUUUAGAGAAUAGCAUCUGAAUCUGACGCAAAACUGUGCUUUUCUCUCACAUAUAUGCAUUGUCAUUUUCUUUAUUGGAAUGUCAUCAUUUAAAGGAGUGUAAUUACAUAUGGUACUUUGGCACUCUAAAAUGAUAUGUCAAUAUGCUCUGUAAUAAUCUUUGAUUCCACUUUCUAGUGUUGCUCAUUGUCUUGUGAAUUUUUUAAACUCAAUUCGCUGGUAAUAAGGGGCCACUAACCAGACUGCAAAUCUGAACUUUGGAUAAUUCAGUCUCGAAGCCUAUGUACUUUAAUUUUUCUUCAACUUUACGUAAGCUUCUUUACUUUAAAAUGUUUGGAUCAUUCUUGGUUUGAACAUGUUUAGUACUGCUAGUGUAUGAGAAUCCUUACAAAAGCUAGGGUCCAAAAAUGAACUAUGAAUAAUACUAGUUUUUAAGUUGUAAUUGCAAAUUGCAUUGAUGUGGAAGAAUCUCUACACUGUAUGUGUAUGUAGGUUACGUUCUUA
rnacentral:lncRNA from 1 species